rnacentral:tRNA from 1 species
CUCUAAUUUUAUUAAAAAUAAAAUUUACAAUUUUAAUUUUAUUAGAAA